AGUUGAUGUCACGUCGUGGAUACUCCGCCAAGCCCCGCUGUCUUCAGAAGACAGUUAAUUCUUACAGAUGAUCCUGUCUCUCCUCUCUCCUCGUACAGGCGAGCAGAAAAAAUGCGACUCCGAGGGCACCACUGUUGUUUACGGUGAAACGCGCCGUACUUUAUUUGGGAACACAUCUCCCUAAACUACAAAAAGGAUUAAAGCGUUACAAGGAGAGCUAGUCGAAGUGGACAGACGGAACCAGACCAGGAUCGAGAGACAACCUUCCUGAAGUCCACUCGAUGUCCUGUCUCUUGUGACUGCACUUUGAUGUGGCCCACGUGACACUCCGGAUAGCAGCGAGCUCUUCCACAUUGAAAACCUUUAUUGCACAGUAAGAAAUAACUAUUUAAAAUAAUACCGGAUGAAAAAAGUACUCCAGUGAGAUUUAUCUACCACUCUGACGACGGGAUGAUUGAAGUUCUUCUCGGGCAGAGUUUGGAAGAGUCCUUGUGCCAAAUAUUCGCGCCUUCAGCAUGUCUACACUUCGCGCAUUUAGGCCUACCCAUCCGGAAGCACCGCCGCUUCAUGCUCCUUUCUCAGCAUUUCCAAAAGUGUCCAUAUAGGCAAGCCCACCGCAUGAAUUGUUGGCCUUGUUCAGCGGUUCCUCUUGGGGCAUAACGUGGAGGCAAAACACGGCUACAUGUUUUUGGAAGAACAAGAGCAGAGCCAAACCAGUUUAAUUGGAUGAAUAACCUAUUUUCUUUUCAGAGAUUACG
ensembl:lncRNA